GUACGCCUUAACAUCCUUUGCAAUGAAUACGAACGAAACAUGUUUAGAAAGUGUUGCUUCACUGACCUCCAAGCCGGAUCGAUUUCGUCGAUGCUUCCGAUCCUCUCGUCAGGAUCUUUGCCGCUGUUCCCAGACUGCGCCUCCCCGCCAUUACCAUCGCCGCUGCCGCAGACGUACGCGUGGAAGUCGAGGCAGGGAUCAGCCGACGCGUUGAGAGUACGCAGAAUGUGCAGAGCGUGGCGAACGCAGUCGUCGGUGGCGCACACGCGUUGGUCGGCGACGAACGGCGGCUUCAAGAACUGGUUCGCGAUGUACAUUGUCAGGACCACCAACACCAUCACUAAUACGAACGCCACGCACGUCAGGGUGCCACUGGAGACGCUGCGCUUGCCGACGCUCACAGAGAGUUGCUCGGCCAGACCGUAUGGCUGAAAGAGAGGCUGUCCCACGAUCCACGCCUUCGGAGGAGCGAAGAUGACCGUCGCCGCCGAAACCUCUGCAAAGAACUGCGUCGGCUGCUCCGUCGCUCCAGGGAAGGCCGGCGACCGCGCGUCAUCUGGUUGUUGUAGAAGGCAGCAAUCCCACUCGUCCCAGGACUCAGCAAGAAAUCCGAGACGCUUGCAAGGCUUGGCUGCUGCUCACCUGCCGGUGUCGGGUCCCCCAGGUCCCCGAGGUUCGGCAGGAGCGGAUGGCCGCAUCUUACG
rnacentral:lncRNA from 1 species